ensembl:snRNA U1 U1 spliceosomal RNA
AUACUUAUCUGGCACUGGGGAUACCAUGAUCAUGAAGGCGGUUUUCCCAGGGUGAUGCUUAUCCAUUGCACCCCAGGUGUGCUGACCCCUGUGAUUUCCCCAAAUGUGGGAAACUCAACUGCAUAAUUUGUGGUAGUGGGGGACUGCGUUUGUGCUCUCUCCUU